rnacentral:rRNA from 1 species
GACGAACGCUGGCGGCGUGCUUAACACAUGCAAGUCGAACAGAAAGGCCCUGCUUUUGUGGGGUGCUCGAGUGGCGAACGGGUGAGUAACACGUGAGUAACCUGCCCUUGACUUUGGGAUACUUCAGGAAACUGGGGCUAAUACCGGAUAGGAGCUCCUGCUGCAUGGUGGGGGUUGGAAAGUUUCGGCGGUUGGGGAUGGACUCGCGGCUUAUCAGCUUGUUGGUGGGGUAGUGGCUUACCAAGGCUUUGACGGGUAGCCGGCCUGAGAGGGUGACCGGCCACAUUGGGACUGAGAUACGGCCCAGACUCCUACGGGAGGCAGCAGUGGGGAAUAUUGCACAAUGGGCGGAAGCCUGAUGCAGCAACGCCGCGUGCGGGAUGACGGCCUUCGGGUUGUAAACCGCUUUCGCCUGUGACGAAGCGUGAGUGACGGUAAUGGGUAAAGAAGCACCGGCUAACUACGUG